GUCACAUCUAUGGUGACAGUGAGUCAAGAUGUAUGAAACGAUACCAUACAUACACGGUGGUCACUUGAAAUCAAUUGCUUUUUGAAAAGUGGACACAUAAAAGAGAGAAUACCCCACUAUUGGUUGUAGUCAGAAGAUCCAUUCUUGUGGGAUUUAUCAACCAAAAUAAUUUCUAAAUUCUAUACAUGUAGCUACUAUUUAUGUUCAAAGCAAAUAUAUGGGAAUUCCAAUAUAUGGUAAGCCCAAUAAAAAAACAAUUGUCUGUACUCAAUUUGUAACUAGUUGAUUAGCAUGUGAUGAAAAUAGAAAAUUUUUAACAAUCUUUAUUUUAUAGAAAAA